rnacentral:rRNA from 1 species
UACAGAGGGGGCAAGCGUUGUUCGGAAUUACUGGGCGUAAAGGGCGCGUAGGCGGCCUGCUAAGUCGAACGUGAAAUCCCUGGGCUCAACCCAGGAACUGCGUCCGAUACUGGUUGGCUUGAAUCCGGGAGAGGGAUGUGGAAUUCCCGGUGUAGCGGUGAAAUGCGCAGAUAUCGGGAGGAACACCAGUAGCGAAGGCGGCUCGCUGGGCCAUUCCUGACGCUGAGACGCGAAAGCUAGGGGAGCGAACAGG